GACGGGUGGGCACUGGUGUGCCGCGCGGUCUCAUGAGCCGCUGGGGCAGGUUCGAUUCCUGCACCCGUCA
rnacentral:tRNA from 1 species